GAAACAGGUUAAUAUUCCUGUACUGAUCAUAAUUGCGAUGGGGGGACGGAGAAAGCUAGGCCAGCACACUGUUGGAUGUGUGUUUAAGCGCGUAGGUUGGGGACUUAGGCAAAUCCGGGUUCCUAAGACUGAAACGUGAUGACGAGUUUCUACGGAAACGAAGUGGUUGAUGCUCUGCUUCCAGGAAAAGCCUCUAAGCUUCAGAUUAUGACAACCGUACCCCAAACCGACACAGGUGGGUAGGAAGAGAAUUCCAAGGUGCUUGAGAGAACUCGGGUAAAGGAACUCGGCAAAAUGAUACCGUAACUUCGGGAUAAGGUAUGCCUCUGAUGGUGAAUAGCUGUUGGAGGCCGCAGAGAAUAGGCCGCUGCGACUGUUUAUCAAAAACACAGCACUCUGCAAACACGAAAGUGGACGUAUAGGGUGUGACGCCUGCCCGGUGCUGGAAGGUUAAUUGAAGAUGUGAGAGCAUCGGAUCGAAGCCCCAGUAAACGGCGGCCGUAACAAUAACGGUCCUAAGGUAGCGAAAUUCCUUGUCGGGUAAGUUCCGACCCGCACGAAUGGCGUAACGAUGGCCACACUGUCUCCUCCCGAGACUCAGCGAAGUUGAAGUGGUUGUGAAGAUGCAAUCUACCCGCUGCUAGACGGAAAGACCCCGUGAACCUUUACUGUAGCUUUGCAUUGGACUUUGAAGUCACUUGUGUAGGAUAGGUGGGAGGCUUUGAAGCAGAGACGCCAGUCUCUGUGGAGCCGUCCUUGAAAUACCACCCUGGUGUCUUUGAGGUUCUAACCCAGACCCGUAAUCCGGGUCGGGGACCGUGCAUGGUAGGCAGUUUGACUGGGGCGGUCUCCUCCCAAAGAGUAACGGAGGAGUUCGAAGGUUACCUAGGUCCGGUCGGAAAUCGGACUGAUAGUGCAAUGGCAAAAGGUAGCUUAACUGCGAGACCGACAAGUCGAGCAGGUGCGAAAGCAGGACAUAGUGAUCCGGUGGUUCUGUAUGGAAGGGCCAUCGCUCAACGGAUAAAAGGUACUCCGGGGAUAACAGGCUGAUUCCGCCCAAGAGUUCAUAUCGACGGCGGUGUUUGGCACCUCGAUGUCGGCUCAUCACAUCCUGGGGCUGUAGUCGGUCCCAAGGGUAUGGCUGUUCGCCAUUUAAAGAGGUACGUGAGCUGGGUUUAAAACGUCGUGAGACAGUUUGGUCCCUAUCUGCUGUGGGCGUUGGAGAUUUGACGGGGGCUGCUCCUAGUACGAGAGGACCGGAGUGGACACACCUCUGGUGUACCUGUUGUCACGCCAGUGGCAUCGCAGGGUAGCUAAGUGUGGAAGAGAUAACCGCUGAAAGCAUCUAAGCGGGAAACUUGCCUGAAGAUGAGAUCUCCCUGGGGACUCGAUCCCCCUGAAGGGUCGUCCAAGACCAGGACGU
rnacentral:rRNA from 1 species